GGGGCAUUAGCUCAGUAGGCUAGAGCAUCUGACUGGCAGUCAGAAGGUCAGCGGUUCGACUCCGCUAUGCUCCAC
rnacentral:tRNA from 1 species